rnacentral:rRNA from 1 species
AUGGGCGUGCCAGAGCUUGCAGUUGCCGCACCAUCCACACCAUGGUGGUGCCAUGUGCACGGAUAUGGCCCGUGCUCCGCUCGCUCCAGUGGCACACGUCUGCCGUCACCAACGCCGACAGAGGAGGAGGAGCGGGAGAUCGUCGACGACGUACCUGCACGCGGCUACAGCCCAACUUCGAUGCGCGUCGCCAGCGCAGGGGGCGAUGGCCUCGUCUUAAUCCCAACUCCAGGACACGCCAUGGCCACCGCGGGCACAGUCACCAUUGCCGGAGCAAGUGGCAGCAUUGGUCCAGGGCCUGAAGUGGACGCCGCGGGGACAAAUAGCAGUACUGUAGCAGUGGGCUGUGCUAUUGGUUUGGGUCUUCCUGUUUGCGACCCAGGACCAUUUUUUUGUUUUUUCUUUUUCUGUUUAGUUCUUUAA